UCUAGUUCUAAUUAAGUUUCAGAGAGUAAGAGUGACCUCCAAAAUAAUUCAAAUUUAUGUAUACAUAACAGCCAUGUAUACAGUGAAUUGGAAGUCUGUAGCUUUUCCGGCAUUCAAGGGAGGCGUGUAAGUACAAGUAAACGAUCGAUUAUUAUCGAUAUACAAAACGGAAUGCGCACGGGCAGAUCAAUCGACUCGGCUCAUAAUCCUCAUACACAUGCAUAUACUUUCAGUGCUCUGCCUUGGCUCAAUCUCUCUCUUAUAUUACGAUCCCCUUAACGGCAUUCGCAUCUUUCUAUAGUGAAUAUCCUAUUAUCGAUAAUAAUCUAUAUUAUCCGAUAGUCGGAUAUGGUAUUUAAGGAUUAUUUAAAGUACCAUUAAAUUGAGUUUAACUAGUUGUUUCAGCAUGAACAUGGCAUUGACGGCCUCCUGUUGACGUAGACCCUGGAGGGAUUAUUUCCGACGCCUAUCGAGUAUAUGGAUCUAAGUAAAACAUUUAUGCCCCAUGUUCUCUGGAUUACUCGAUGUGAGACGCCAUGGAUUAGAUUAAGAUACUACGUAAGAAUUCUAAAUAAAAGACGUCGCUCUUGGAGAGACUAUAAUUGUAGCACAA